GUAGGUGGCAAGCGUUGUCCGGAAUUAUUGGGCGUAAAGCGCGCGCAGGCGGGUUUUUUAAGUCUGAUGUGAAAGCCCACGGGCUCAACCGUGGAGGGUCAUUGGAAACUGGGGAACUUGAGUACAGAAGAGGAAAGCGGAAUUCCACGUGUAGCGGUGAAAUGCGUAGAGAUGUGGAGGAACACCAGUGGCGAAGGCGGCUUUCUGGUCUGUAACUGACGCUGAGGCGCGAAAGCGUGGGGAGCAAACAGGAUUAGAUACCCUGGUAGUCCACGCCGUAAACGAUGAGUGCUAAGUGUUAGGGGGUUUCCGCCCCUUAGUGCUGCAGCUAACGCAUUAAGCACUCCGCCUGGGGAGUACGGCCGCAAAGGCUG
rnacentral:rRNA from 1 species